CGGGCCGUAGCGCAGCCUGGAUUAGCGCGCUACCUUGGGGUGGUAGAGGUCGGGAGUUCGAAUCUCCCCGGCCCGA
rnacentral:tRNA from 1 species